AGAAUGAACGCUGGCGGCAUGCCUAACACAUGCAAGUCGAACGAAACCUUCGGGUUUAGUGGCGCACGGGUGCGUAACGCGUGGGAAUCUACCCCUUGGUUCGGAAUAACAGUUGGAAACGACUGCUAAUACCGGAUGAUGACGUAAGUCCAAAGAUUUAUCGCCGAGGGAUGAGCCCGCGUAGGAUUAGGUAGUUGGUGUGGUAAAGGCGCACCAAGCCGACGAUCCUUAGCUGGUCUGAGAGGAUGAUCAGCCACACUGGGACUGAGACACGGCCCAGACUCCUACGGGAGGCAGCAGUGGGGAAUAUUGGACAAUGGGCGAAAGCCUGAUCCAGCAAUGCCGCGUGAGUGAUGAAGGCCUUAGGGUUGUAAAGCUCUUUACCCGGGAUGAUAAUGACAGUACCGGGAGAAUAAGCUCCGGCUAACGUCCGCGCCAGCAGCCGC
rnacentral:rRNA from 1 species